ensembl:miRNA
AUUUAUUAGGUUGGUGCAAAAGUAAUUGCAGUUUUUGCCAUUAAUUUCAGCAGCAAAAACUGCAAUUACUUCUGCACCAACCUAAUAGU